UAGCUUUAUAGUCAAUAAUGAUAUUAGACUGCAAUUCUAAAGGAGUAAAUAAUUACUAAGGCUU
rnacentral:tRNA from 1 species